UACAGAGGUCUCAAGCGUUGUUCGGAUUCAUUGGGCGUAAAGGGUGUGUAGGUGGCUCCGUAAGUCGGGUGUGAAAUUUCGGAGCUUAACUCCGAAACUGCAUUCGAUACUGCGGUGCUUGAGGACUGGAGAGGAGACUGGAAUUCAUGGUGUAGCAGUGAAAUGCGUAGAGAUCAUGAGGAAGACCAGUGGCGAAGGCGGGUCUCUGGACAGUUCCUGACACUGAGACGCGAAGGCCAGGGGAGCAAACGGG
rnacentral:rRNA from 1 species